rnacentral:rRNA from 1 species
UACAAGCAGUGGGAGCACAGGUUUACCUGUGUGACUGCGUACCUUUUGUAUAAUGGGUCAGCGACUUAUAUUCUGUAGCAAGGUUAACCGAAUAGGGGAGCCGGAGGGAAACCGAGUCUUAAUUGGGCGUUAAGUUGCAGGGUAUAGACCCGAAACCCGGUGAUCUAGCCAUGGGCAGGUUGAAGGUUGGGUAACACUAACUGGAGGACCGAACCGACUAAUGUUGAAAAAUUAGCGGAUGACCUGUGGCUGGGGGUGAAAGGCCAAUCAAACCGGGAGAUAGCUGGUUCUCCCCGAAAGCUAUUUAGGUAGCGCCUCGUGAAUUCAUCUCCGGGGGUAGAGCACUGUUUCGGCUAGGGGGCCAUCCCGGCUUACCAACCCGAUGCAAACUGCGAAUACCGGAGAAUGUUAUCACGGGAGACACACGGCGGGUGCUAACGUCCGUCGUGAAGAGGGAAACAACCCAGACCGCCAGCUAAGGUCCCAAAGUCAUGGUUAAGUGGGAAACGAUGUGGGAAGGCCCAGACAGCCAGGAUGUUGGCUUAGAAGCAGCCAUCAUUUAAAGAAAGCGUAAUAGCUCACUGGUCGAGUCGGCCUGCGCGGAAGAUGUAACGGGGCUAAACCAUGCACCGAAGCUGCGGCAGCGA